GUCGGCCGAUGAUCGAGUGUUCGGAGUGUUUAAUUUGGAUCCAUCUUUCGUGUGCAAAAAUCCGAAAAUCAAACGUCCCCGAAGUUUUUGUGUGUCAGAAGUGCCGUGAUGCAAGACAUACAAUGAGGAGGUCGCAACGAGUAAAGACCACGCCUAGUCCAAAGCGUACGUGAUAGGAGUUGUUGCCAUAGCAACAGCCUCCUGUGUACAAAUGUGUAAAUACAUAUACUCCGCUUUAACGUAAAGCAUUCACUAAUGCAGAGCAAGGACAACGUUGUAUGCGCUCUAUAAUUUAUGCAAAGGUGUUGGGUGUUUUAUAAUUGAUUUGUCCCAAGUUAUUUUUGGGUACUCUUAAAGUUAGGCAACACUAACAUGACAGCGUGAAGGACUGUUCGAUACAGAAGAUUUUCAUGUUUGAAAUGUGUGUUUUACAGCAUUAAACUUGAAGUUAAUCUCUGCUUGCAAAUAAUUGGUGUGUGUAAUUGCGUGUAGAGUUCACUAAUAGAGUCAGACCAAAGUCAAUCAAAAUGUAAUCCAAAAACUUGGCCAAAAUCUUAUGCAAAUUUGUUAAGACAAUGAAUUUUUGGCAUGCUGAGGCUAUCAUCCAUUACACAUCGCGAUCGGUGACAUACUUUUUGGAAGCGUGUUUUCAGUAUUGCAUCAUCUUGUCCGAUGCCUACUGUACUGUUGAGAGCUGGUUUAUACUAUCCAAGUUUCUGUGACCACAGUAGGCAUUUUGCAAAGGUAAAUUUGAAGUUUUGAAUGAUUUGUGAGAAAUCUUUGAGGGCAUUGACUCCGUGUUAAACACCAAGUUAACACCCUCAAACAUUUCUUACAAAUCCUUCAAAACUUAUCUUUGCAAAAUUCCUAUUGUGGUCACAGAAACUUAGAUGGUGUAAACCAGUAAACUAAAUUUCAAAAGAUUUCUGCAUGGUGAAGUAACCUCGAUAUAAAAUUGUAGCUCAUAGAUGCUUUGAAGAUUUGCCAAAUUUUUAGGUUCUGUCUUGAUUGACUUUGGUCAGAUUGAAAGUUCAUGUUUUGUGAAGACUACAUCUUGUAUGAAUUAGUGUAUUUAUAUUAGUGGAGUAAUAUAGCAGCUCAAAAAGAUUUGAGUUCCAUAUUGUAUAUGUGUAAAGGUCCAUUUACAUUACAUAACUUACACCUAAAACUGUCACAUGCAACCUGCUUACAACUUCAGUUAUACUGUGUAAAUCAAGCACACAACUCCCCUACGUUUUCAUUGGAAAUAGGGUGUUAAAAGUCAAAUCUUAGUGUAGCUGCUAUA
rnacentral:lncRNA from 1 species